rnacentral:rRNA from 1 species
UACGAAGGGGGCUAGCGUUGCUCGGAAUUACUGGGCGUAAAGCGCACGUAGGCGGCUUUCUAAGUCGGGGGUGAAAUCCUGGAGCUCAACUCCAGAACUGCCUCCGAUACUGGAGAGCUCGAGUCCGGGAGAGGUGAGUGGAAUUCCCAGUGUAGCGGUGAAAUGCGUAGAUAUUGGGAGGAACACCAGUGGCGAAGGCGGCUCACUGGACCGGUACUGACGCUGAUGCGCGAAAGCGUGGGGAGCAAACGGG